UUUCCCCUUUUCUCUCCCCCUGAUUCACGGCAGCAGCCCCCCUUUUUCCUCUUUUCUUUUCUUCUUUUCUUUCUUUUUCUCUCCUCUAUUUUCGGUGGACAGCAGCCCCUCCCCUGUUCCAGCACCCGAAUUCCUCUCCCUUUUUCCUUCUCUUCCAUUUUCUUCCUCUCCUCGUCUCACUGCCAUGCACGCACACGCCCGAAAGGAAGAAGCACUGAGAGACCGAGAUCGUUCGAGAGAUUCUGAGAUGGAGAGUUCGGCUAUGGAGGAAAACCCAUGGAAAUCAGGAUAGUGUUCGAAUUGGAGACUUCAAUUGGUUCUCCAAUGUAGAGUUCGAGUCGUGAGUCCAAUGCAGCCAAGAUGUUCCUCUGGCUGCAGGUACUCCGGUCGUAGGGGAGAGUGUUGUAGAUGUGCACUUGGGAUAAUAUGACCGAAGCUCGCCGCGACGGUCGUAAUGGGUGGACCAUAGUUGUCCACUAUUAUGUAGGUUUUGUUUAUGGCUGGUGAUGCUUUGGUCACUUGUUAUUGUAUAAGCCAUUCCUGUUGCUUAAAUAUUCUAUAGAUAGGAUUUAAACAUAUAGAUGUUAAAUGGCUCUGUAUUGUAAAUAAUUUGUAAUAGAUGUAUAAGCUAUGCUUUUUGCUAUUUAGGUUUAUGUUUGCGCUGCAUGGUUAGUUAUAUGUUAUACUCUGAUUUACCAGGUGUAUAUAUUAUGGGAUAUAUACUAUAUGUUGGCUUUGCGACACAUUGUCGUGCCACUGUGAAGACUCGUUUAUGUUUGACAAAAAAAAAAAAGAACGGGUCGUCACAAAUGGUGUGGCAGAGGCCCAUCAGUCGUUCGGUGGGAGGCCAACGAUGGUGGUCCGAGGGUGACUCAUUGGUGGUCCGUGAAUGGCUCGUGAAUGGUUCGGCGGUGGUUCAGUGGUGACUUGAUGAUGGUCUAGUGGUGUCUCAGUGGUGGUUGGCGGUGGUCCAGGGAUGGCUCGAGGUGGUUCUGUGACUCGAUGGUGGGUCGGUGGUGAUUCGACGUUGGCCAAUGGUGGCUCAAAGGUUGGUCAUUGGUGCUCCCGAGGUGGGUUGGUGGUGGUCCGGGCAUUGUUCAGGGGUGGUUCGUGGUUGCUCCGGGAUGGUCCAGCAAUGGCUCGAUAGUGGUUCAAGAGUGGCUUGGAAGUAGUUCGGGCAUGGCUCGAUGGUGGCUGGGGGGUGGUUCGAGGUGGCUCAGUGGUAGUUUGGUGAAGGUUCGGCGGUGGACAACGGUGGCUUGGAUGUGGGUUGGUGGUGGUUUAGGAGUGGUUCAGUGGUGGUCCUGGAAUGGUUCAGUGGUGGUCCGAGGUGGCUUGAUGGUGGUCUGGCCGUGGCUCGAUGGUGGUCCAUCAGUGAUCCAGUGAUGGUCCAGGAGUGGCUCGGUUGCAAUACUCUGGUCCCAUAUUGAGAAGAGAUAAAUAGCUCAUAUAGAUGGUUGUUCGGGGAU